GACGAACCGUGCGAACGUUGUUCGGAAUCACUGGGCUUAAAGGGCGCGUAGGCGGGCAGUCAAGUCAGGGGUGAAAUCCCACGGCUCAACCGUGGAAGUGCCUUUGAUACUGGCUGUCUCGAGGGAGGUAGGGGCGUGCGGACCUUCCGGUGGAGCGGUGAAAUGCGUAGAUAUCGGAAGGAACGCCGGUGGCGAAAGCGGCGCGCUGGACCUCUUCUGACGCUGAGGCGCGAAAGCCAGGGGAGCAAACGGG
rnacentral:rRNA from 1 species